UUGCAAUAAACAUAACAUUUAGUGUACUAGCAUGUACCCCAAUUAUAGGUGAGACAGCAUUCUAGUAUUUAGCAUUAGUCGGACAGGCUGUAGUACCAUUGUCUCGAGUGUGACCUUCUAGCGCCAUUCCUCCGCCUUGUGUUCUCUCUGAAGUGCCAGUCCAGGUGCUGGCUAUAUCUAGAGGUGUGGAGGAGUCUCUGAUCGUGGGCGGAGGCGGGGCGCUGGCUUCCUCCGCCUGGGGCAGUUGGCGGAGAUUCACGUCUUCAUUUCCGAAGAGGCUGUAAUAAAUCCAUUUUGUAAAUAC